AUGCCCCCAGGGCUGGAUGUGGUCCGAGGAGCACUGCUACUACCUCUCUGCGGAAGCUCAGGCCUGGGAGGCCAGCCAGGCUUUCUGCUCGGCUCACCAGGCUACCCUCCCGCUGCUGAGCCACACCCAGGACUUCCUGAGCAGAUACCCAGUCACCAAGCACUCCUGGGUGGGGGCCCGGCAAGGCCCCCAGGGCUGGCAGUGGAUCGACGGGGCCCUGCUAUCGCCCCAGCUACUCCCAGAGGAAGAGGAGGACCAGCCAGAUCUCAAGUGCGGGGGCCUGGAGGGAGGCAAGCUGGUGGCUUUGGACUGUGCCUCUCCAAGACCAUGGGUCUGUGCCAGGGGGACCAAGUGACUUGGGUUCUGCCCGUCCUGAGACUUGGGGGGCAUGCAGCUCCCCCAGGGGAAGCCAGGUUGCUAGCUGGGGUAGCCUCUUCCUUGGACCAAGACUUCCGGGUCUCCCUGCUCUGUGCUCAAGGGACCCUUUCUGGGCCAACCGGGGCCUGGACUUCCGGCUCAGGCAGAUCGCAUCCAAGGGAAAGGAGGAUUUCUGCGGCCCUGGGCUGACCGUCCAGCUUCUGAAACGGAUUUGUUUGGUUACCUUGGGGUGUUUUUUUUGAGCAUUUUUGAGUCUAGGUUUCUCCCUCAUUAAAAUGGCCAUUUCCCAUCCUCUCCCCUCACCUGCUUAAUCACACCUGCACACCCGCUCAGCC
rnacentral:lncRNA from 1 species